AUGCUUACCUGGCAGGGAAGGUACCAUGAUCAUGAAGGUGGUUUUCUCAGGGCGAGGCUUAGCCAUUGCACUCCAGAUGUGCUGACCCUGUGGUUUCCCCAAAUGUGGGAAACUCAACUGCAUGAUUUGUGAUCUUAGAGACCUGUGUUCGUGCUGUCUGCUG
rnacentral:snRNA from 10 species